rnacentral:rRNA from 1 species
UCAGCAGUCCAGAAUAUUAGUCAAUGCUCGAAAGAGUGAACUAGCUAACUGAAUCAAUUUAAAUUGAUAACAUAAGGGAAAAUAAUGAUAUUACCUUAUUAUUAGUGUCGUCCAAAACUGGUGCCAGAAGACUCGGUAAGGCCAGAGACACAAACGUUAAUCGUCUUAAUCAGGCGUAAAGGGUUUGUAGGCGGCUUUUAAUUUACUUAUAAAAAAAUUUUAACGAUAAAAUAAGUUAAGAAUAAAAGCUAGAAUCAAAUAGAGGAUAUAUCAAAUAAUGCUUAGAGUAGGUCUGAUAUCCAUAGAUACUAAGUAGAAUAUUAAAGGCGAAAGCUUUUUUCCAUAAAUGAUUGACGCUCAGAAACGAAGGUGAGGAUAGGAAAUAGGAUUAGAUACCCAAAAUACCCCUCUCUGUCAACGAUGAAUGGUAAUUAUUAAUAAUAAUUAUUAAUGAUAAUGUUAACACGAUAACCAUUCCGCCUUGUGAGUACAACUGCAAAGUUGAAAACAAAAAAAUUAGUCGGUUUCGGAGCAAACGAAGUGAAGCAUGUUAUUUAAUUCGAUAAUCCGCAAAAA